CCUACGGGAGGCAGCAGUAGGGAAUCUUCCACAAUGGGCGAAAGCCUGAUGGAGCAACGCCGCGUGGGUGAAGAAGGUCUUCGGAUCGUAAAACCCUGUUGUUAGAGAAGAAAGUGCGUGAGAGUAACUGUUCACGUUUCGACGGUAUCUAACCAGAAAGCCACGGCUAACUACGUGCCAGCAGCCGCGGUAAUACGUAGGUUACAAGCGUUAUCCGGAUUUAUUGGGCGUAAAGGGAACGCAGGCGGUCUUUUAAGUCUGAUGUGAAAGCCUUCGGCUUAACCGGAGUAGUGCAUUGGAAACUGGGAGACGUGAGUGCAGAAGAGGAGAGUGGAACUCCAGGUGUAGCGGUGAAAUGCGUAGAGAUAUGGAAGAACACCAGUGGCGAAAGCGGCUCUCUGGUCUGUAACUGACGCUGAGGUUCGAAAGCGUGGGUAGCAAACAGGAUUAGAUACCCGAGUAGUC
rnacentral:rRNA from 1 species